GUUACCUGCCAUUGCUUCGGAGAGGCGGCAAGGAAGAAGCGCCACAGCUCACCAGCACUUCACUACGCUGUUUCCAUUCCGCCUGGAUCUUGCCACAGACCUCUGCAGCCCUAUCCAGGCCCUGCUCCCAAGCUUCUCUACCCCAUGAAAUCUAGUCAUUCCACGGCGCUGAGGCCCUGUAGAGGCACCGGGCGGCAGAGGUGAGACCGUCUCGAAGCAGAGGCUGUGAAUGGCCUGGAUGUUCGGCUAGUCUACACACACUUGCCAAGUGAGGCAGAUGUGUAAUCAAGGAAUGGCAUAUACUUCGUAAGCCUCGAGGUGCAAUGCAGUCAGCGCUCUACGGUUGUGGAUGUUCACUGGGGACUGAAAUGGUGAUUAGAUAUGCUUUUGUGUUUUUGGAAUUUGAUGGGGAUUGCACUGGAUCACUUUUGGUAAUAUCAUCACUGGACUGGUUUGACCCACUGGCUGCCAAGCCAUUUGAGGUUCAGCCCUGGCC
rnacentral:lncRNA from 1 species